GCAAGUUAUGUGAUACUCAUUGUGAUUGAUUUUGUUUGGUUGAAUGCUCAUUUUUUUUUUCUUCAUAUUUUAGUUCAUUAAUACAUGUCUAAAUAAUGAGAUUCAUAUUCACCGUGCAACGCACGGGGUAAAAACGCUAAUACAUGACAGAAGAGAAGGAGCAAAUAAAGGAGAAAAAAUAGAAAAGAAAUAGGAGGCAAGAGACUCGACAGAAACACAAAAACAGAACCCAUCAGAACACAACAACAUGCAGUGUUUAGGAAAUCUCUGCCACCAGAGUGCUUAGCGUCAACCAGUCCCAGGCUAGACGAAUUGCGAAGCCAAAAACACCCAAGGCUACAGCAUACAAGGCCAAACCCAUCAUCGUUUCAAAUGUUUCCAAACAAGCACAAGAUGCAUAUAUAGAAAACCAGCCUCGCAGCCACUGAUCUUCAUCACUACUUUCACCAGGAAUUUUCCAUCCCCAAACAGAGCUUUGGAUUCCAUAACCAUUUAUAGGAAGAACAAUUGAAAUCAUUUUUCUUGCAUUUGAGCCACUUCCAAGACCUGAAAAUUAUAACCUCCACCAUUUUAUCUACACAGAUUGAACCAGAGCUAAACAACACCUUGUUUCAGUGAAGUCAAAUGGACCACACUACUGCUAUCCAUAUAGACCACCACCCUGAAUUGGAUCCUAGAGGCAGAUUGAGAUCAUGUUGUGCAAAGUGUGCUCUAACUUCAUCAUGGAAGUCCGAACAAAACCCCAGCCAUUUGUAAAUCCUCAUCCACACUUCCCACGCAAAUUUGCAGGAAAAAAGCAAAUGAUUUAGACGUUCCUCUUGUUACUCGCAUAAUACACAGAUACAUUGAGUUCUCGAAUGAAACAUUGCUUCUUGAGAUUUGCUUUCAUUUAAAUUCUGUUUAGAAACACCCUCCAAGUAAAAGCCAUGAGUUUGAUAGGGCUGCAAUAUUCCACAUCAGUUUAAAGACGAACACUCUCCCUACGGUAUAGGUCCAAGCUGAAUUUCAUAUGCAGAUUUGACGGAGAAAACACUAUCCCAAGAGCCCUCCCAUAACCAAGAGUCACGAUCCCCUGUUUUAGUUGCAUGGUUCUUCUUUCAAUUUUUAUGUCCCAGCAUUUGAUUCUCCUAGACAAAAAGAUUCCUCCUCCAAAGGAAAGCCCACUUCCACCUCCAAUCCUCCCAAUAACCCUUGUUUUUUUAUAGAACUUAACUGCUGAAUGGAAACAUCGAAGAGUCUUUUGAACCUUACCCUCAGACUCGCCACACCUCUCAGCCACCGGUUUUCCCAAAAUCGGGUUGCGCCUCCAUCUCUGAUUCUCCUAGUCACAUUGUUGUCAAACCAGUUCAGAAAUUUGCAGAGCAAAUAGAAUUGAAGAAGAAUCUUAUUGAACAAGUAGAAUUUUUGUU
rnacentral:lncRNA from 1 species